UAUUCUGUAAAUAUGGCAUGCCUAUCAGUU
rnacentral:sRNA from 1 species